rnacentral:rRNA from 1 species
GAUGAACGCUGACAGAAUGCUUAACACAUGCAAGUCAACUUGAACUUCGGUUUGGGUGGCGGACGGGUGAGUAACGCGUAAAGAACUUGCCUCACAGAUAGGGACAACAUUUGGAAACGAAUGCUAAUACCUGAUAUUAUGAUUAGAUGGCAUCGUAUAAAUAUGAAAGCUAUAUGCGCUGUGAGAGAGCUUUGCGUACCAUUAGCUAGUUGGAGAGGUAACGGCUCACCAAGGCGAUGAUGGGUAGCCGGCCUGAGAGGGUGAUCGGCCACAAGGGGACUGAGACACAGCCCUUACUGCUACGGGAGGCAGCAGUGGGGAAUAUUGAACAAUGGACCAAGAGUCUGAUCCAGCAAUUCUGUGUGCACGAUGAAGUUUUUCGGAAUGUAAAGUGCUUUCAGUUGGGAAGAAAAAAAUGACGGUACCAACAGAAGAAGUGACGGCUAAAUACGUG